rnacentral:rRNA from 1 species
UACGGAGGGUGCGAGCGUCAAUCGGAAUUACUGGGCGUAAAGGGUGCGUAGGUGGUUUGAUAAGUUAUCUGUAAAAGCCCUGGGCUCAACCUGGGAAGGCCAGAUAAUACUGUUGAACUGGAGUAUGGGAGAGGGUAGUGGAAUUUCCGGUGUAGCGGUGAAAUGCGUAGAGAUCGGAAGGAACACCAGUGGCGAAGGCGGCUACCUGGCCUGAUACUGACACUGAAGCACGAAAGCGUGGGGAGCAAACAGG